rnacentral:lncRNA from 1 species
UGUAUGUCUGCAUAGCAUGUACCUUCCUGGUACCUCUGGAAGCCAAAAGAAGGCCUCAGCUAUCCUGGAACUUGAGUUACAGAUGGUUGUGAGCCACCACAUAGGAAUGUUGGGAACUGAACCUGGGUCCUCAGGAAGACUGGCCAGUGUUCUUAACUGCUGAGUCAUCUCUCCAGCCUUGCACAAGAUCCUCAGAAUGUUGCUUCACUCUCAGGGGAACAGCUGGAGGUUGCAAACAUGGUCGAGAAAGAACUCGCAGCUGAGACCCAUCUCAGGACAAAGGUCAGACAAGGUCAUCAACAUUACAAAAAGGUAGCAUGGAGGUGACACCCUGAGUGCUGCAUCACUCCUCCAGGACAACUGUGGUGACCUAGAGGGAGGGGUCCAGGGCUCCUCAGGAGGUUCCCAUGGCAACUCAAUGCAUGACUGAGGCUGGAUGCUCUCAUUCUGCUGUAGAAAUACAUUCUGUUUUUUCCUCUUGUCUUCUCUGAACAGGUGCCUGUCUCCUCCAGGGCCACUCAACACAUCCAAUACUGUGGGAUCAUCUCCAGACAUCGAAGGGCAUCAUUAUCACGGAUAAGAACACAGAUGCUGGGGCUGGAGAGAUGGCGCAGAGGUUAAGAGCUGGCACUAAUCUUUCAGAGGACUGGAGUUUGGUUCCCAUCCCCAUGUUGGGCAGAUCAUGACGACCUGUGACUACAGCUUCAGAGGGCCUAGAACCUUCUUCUGGAGACCCUGCAUGCUCU